rnacentral:rRNA from 1 species
CCACAAAAGGGCAAAUAAAAACAGAGAAGAGGAAAAAGAAAAUAAACCCACCUAGUAAGAUCCCCUCGCCACCCUAAUCGUCCUAAAAUCCUGAUCUCUCUCCCCGCGCGCAAGAUUGGGUUCGCGAGAUGCUGCCGGCAUCGGACUAGUUGGACCGAAAGGAGAGUAGCGGCCGCGGCUGCCGUCUCGAGAUGGCGUGGCGAACAGGUGGGUGCGCCGGCCGCUGUCUGCUGUCGCUGCUCCUCCUGACAGCUUCCUUACUUGACUGGAGCUUGAUUUCUCUUGUUAAUAUGGUUAUCUUCUUUGCUAUCCGCUUUGUUGCUCCAAGGAGAGGAUUUCACAAUUGGAGGCUGUACCUAUUAUACUGGUGUACAGUUAUUUACUCAGCAGUUGCCAUUUUGGCUCAAGUUACGUUUCAUAUAAUAUGGGGAAUUGAGGGAAAGGGAUGGAUUGUGGCUCAUUCUUGGUGGGCGAAGCUGGUUGGUUUUGCAAGGGACCAGCCUUGGGAAUCACCAUCUGUUAUCUAUUUUCUUAUCGUACAGCUAUCUGCUGCUGUCCUUUCUUUGGUUGAAGUCUUUGGAAGCAGGAUCCAUCAAGAUUCAUGUUGGCUCAACUUCUCCUUUGACAUUGAGCAAAUAGGUUAUCAUUUUCGGGUUGCGUGCUGUUUGUUGCUGCCUGCUGUCCAAUUAAUUGUCAGUAUCAGUCACCCUUCUUGGAUUUCGUUGCCAUUCUUUGUAUUUAGCUGCAUCGGUCUUGUGGAUUGGUCCUUAACGAGCAACUUUCUUGGUCUUUUCCGGUGGUGGAGGUUACUUGAGAUAUAUUCGGUCUUUAGCAUUCUUCUUCUUUAUAUUUACCAACUGCGUGUCAAGUUUCCCUAUGUUGUGGUAGCAUUUGCUGACUUUAUUGGUCUAUUCAAAGUUUCUUCAAAAUCAGAAUGGCCUGAGCUGUCCUCCGGUAUUUCUCUUCUGGUGUAUUACUUCAUGCUGUCAUCAUUCAAGCGAGACAUACAAGAAAUGGAUAGUCUAAUGUCUCUAGAAAACGACAGCUUAACAGAGGACCUUCUCCCUUCUAGGAAUGCAUUUUUGGUUCGUCAAUCUCGAACUGGCAGAAGGCAUGCUAAUGUAUUACUAGGAGGUUCAGUUUUCAGAACAUUCAGUAUCAACUUCUUCACUUAUGGCUUUCCGGUUUUGCUUCUUGCCCUUUCCUUAUGGAGUUUCAACUUCACUAGUAUUUGCGCUUUUGGUCUCCUUGCAUACGUUGGAUACAUUUUAUAUGCUUUCCCUUCCUUGUUCCAAAUGCAUCGGUUGAAUGGGUCACUCCUAGUGUUUAUCCUGUUUUGGGCAGUAAGCACAUAUGUCUUCAAUGUGGCAUUCACAUUCUUCAACAAAAGAUUUCAGAAGGAUACGAUAAUAUGGGAGACUAUUGGCAUAUGGCAUUAUUCUAUCCCUGGACUAUUUCUACUCGCACAAUUCUGCCUUGGUGUUUUUGUAGCACUUUGUAAUCUUGUAAACAAUUCUGUUUUUCAUUACCUUACCUCUGAGGAGGGGCCAUCGUCUAGUGAUGAUCACCUUAUUGAUGACAAGGAAGAUGCAAUGGUUUUGAUUGUAGCAACGCUAGCAUGGGGUCUACGCAAACUUUCACGUGCAAUUACUUUAAUGUUACUGUUUCUUCUUGUGAUGAAACCUGGAUUUAUUCAUGCUGUUUACAUGUGCUUUUUCCUGGUGUUUCUGGUGAAUCAUUCAAUCAAUAAAAGACUACGCCAAUUCUUAGUGUUAUUUUGCGAGGUGCAUUUUUCAAUACUGUACAUUCUUCAGCUUGAUCUAGUCUCCAAUGCUCUUGAGCGCAGUGGUCCACUUAUGAUGGAGGUAUUCUCACAGUUAGGCCUCUCAAGUAAUGCUAAAACAAAAGACUUGGUGGAGAUUGGCUCAAUUAUAUGCUUCUGUGCUGUCCAUAGCCAUGGUUUUAAAAUGCUUUUUGCUCUCUCUGCUGUUCUUCGGCAUACACCGUGUCCACCUGUUGGGUUCACUAUCCUAAAGGCUGGUUUGAAUAAGUCAGUACUCUUGUCAGUUUAUAGCUCACAAAAUUCACGAGAAGGUCAAGUUUGCCGCAACUUACAUGAAAAAAAGAUUGCGUCAUAUCUCAGUAAAAUCGGCCAGAAAUUUCUCUCUAUGUAUCGCUCAUACGGAACUUAUGUGGCUUUCCUCACAAUUCUGUUGACUCUAUACUUGGUGACUCCCAAUUAUAUAUCAUUUGGUUACCUUUGGUUCCUUCUACUUUGGAUAAUCGGAAGGCAGCUUGUCGAGAAGACGAAGAGACGACUUUGGUUUCCAUUAAAAGUAUAUGCUGCUGUGGUGUUUAUCUUCACCUAUAGCCUGAGUAUUUCUCCACUCUUUGCGCGCUUGGUUUCAAAGUUUGUUAAACUAUAUCCUGAUCUUGGAUUUGAUCCUGAAGCCUCUUUGUUGGUAAAUGUUUGGCAAUCAUUGUCUAUUCUAAUAGUGAUGCAACUUUACAGUUAUGAAAGAAGGCAGAACAGUGACAAGAACUUCAGUGUUUCUGAUGCUUCUGCAUCUGGGCUUCUAGGGUUCCUUAGAAGGUUGCUAAUUUGGCACAGUGAGAAGAUACUAUCAGUUAGUGUGUUCUAUGCUUGCCUAUCAUCAAUCAGUCUAUCUGGCCUAGUUUAUCUGUUAGGUCUCAUUGUGUUUUCCACCUUACCAAAAGUUUCUCGAAUUCCUUCGAAGGUCUACCUACUCUACACUGGUUUACUUGCUGUAUCUGAAUACCUCUUCCAAAUGAUAUGCAAACCUGCUCAAAUGUGUCCUGGUCAGCGCUUGUAUGGAUUUGCUGCAUUUCUUGGUUUGAAACAUUACGAUUCUGGGCUUUGGGGUGUUGAAUAUGGGCUUAGAGGAAAAGUUCUGGUGAUUGUGGCUUGCACCAUUCAAUAUAAUGUGUUCCACUGGCUGGACUUAAUGCCAGCAUCUCUAGUACAUGAGGGUAAAUGGGAAGAGCCUUGUCAGCUGUUUAUCUCUUCCGAUCAAUCUGCUAGUCUUUUGAACAACAGGGAGGAGAUACAUUCCUCAAAUAGGUUUGCCUUGUUGUUUUCUAAAGUCCAAGGUCUUGUGGGUAGCAGCUUAUCUUCAUCCCUUAGUUCAGGCAACACUUAUCAGACCUCAGAAGCUGUCCAGAAUGUGACCAAAGGUUUGGACGAGGACAAAAGGUACUCAUUUGCAAAGAUGUGGGGAAUGUCAAAAGAAAGCCACAAGUGGGAUAAGCAAAGGAUCAUUUCUCUGAAAAGAGAAAGAUUUGACACCCAGAAGUCGACAUUUAAGAGCUACAUAAUAUUCUGGAUGGAAAAUCUUUUUAAACUGCGAGGUCUGGAAAUUAACAUGAUUGUGUUACUAUUGGCAAGCUUUACAUUGUUAAAUGUUGUAUCGAUGUUUUAUAUCAUGUGCCUCGUGGCAUGUAUUCUUAUGAACAGAGGUCUAAUCCAGAAACUGUGGCCCCUUUUCGUGUCUCUCUUUGCUACUGUCUUAGUACUCGAGUAUUUUGCCCUUUGGAAAGAUGGAAUGCUCUGGUUACAGGGUGUCAAUGAUAUUGAAAUGCGUUGCCACGGAUGCUGGAAAAAUUCGCAGAUUUUCUUUGAUUAUUGCUCGAAAUGCUGGCUAGGGUUAAUAGCUGAUGAUCCUCGAAUGUUGGUUAGCUACUAUGUUGUGUUCAUUUUUUCGUCAUUCAAGCUACGCUCUGACCACUUCUCUGGUUUCUCGGACUCGGAUACAUACCGUCAGAUGCGAUCCCAAAGGAAAAAUGCGUUUGUUUGGAGGGACCUCUCAUUGGAAACAAAAAGCUUCUGGACCUUUCUUGAUUAUGUGCGGCUUUAUGCUUACUGCCAUUUAUUAGAUAUAGUUUUGGCACUAAUUGCUAUUACUGGUACUCUGGAGUAUGAUUUUUUACACCUCGGUUAUCUCGGGUUUGCUCUGGUUUUCUUCCGAAUGAGACUUGAAAUACUGAAGAAGAAGAAUAAGAUUUUCAAGUAUCUACGGAUGUAUAAUUUCGCUGUUAUAGUUUUGUCACUUGCAUAUCAAUCUCCUUAUGUUGGGCAGUUUAGCUCUGGCAAGUGUGAUCAAAUAGAUUACCUCUAUGAAAUUAUUGGAUUCUACAAGUAUGAUUAUGGUUUUAAGAUAACAUCACGGUCAGCUUUUGUUGAGAUAGUGAUCUUCUUAUUGGUGGCAGUGCAAUCAUACAUCUUUAGUUCUGGUGAGUUUGAUUAUGUAUCAAGAUACCUUGAAGCAGAGCAAAUCGGUGCAAUGGUCCGUGAACAGGAGAAGAAGGCUUUAAAGAAAACUGAACAGCUGCAGCAUCUUCGCAGGUCUGAGGAGCAAAAACGUCAACGCAACAUGCAAGUAGAAAGGAUGAAAUCUGAGAUGUACAAUUUACAAAGUCAACUAAAUACAAUGAAUUCCUUCACCCCAAUCAAUCAUGCUUCCUGCAAUGAAGGCUUACGGCGCAGGAGGACUACUAGGUUGUACAGUGAUAUUGAUCCUCCAUUGCUAGAUAAUGAGACUGGUUCACCAGCUGCAGCAUCUCAGUCAUUUGAAUUCUCUGUAGCAGAUACAAAGAGAAACAUACCAGAUUUAUUGUUCCCAAGCUCGUGUGAUGCUCCACGGUCACCAAUCAGGGGGAGGAGUGAAGAAUUUAUGCUGGCUGAUGAUGCUAAAAAUUCCGUGGGCUCAACAUCUGAGAUUAUUGAGCUUGAUGAGUGUGAUAUCAAAUUGCAUCCUAACUUACUAAAAGAGGAGAAGGAAAGAAGACAACCCAAGGAAAACCCACUUAAAUCUGCUGUGCAGUUAAUUGGUGAUGGUGUUUCCCAAGUUCAGUCAUUUGGAAACCAGGCAGUUACAAACAUUGUGAGCUUCUUGAACAUUGAUCCAGAAGAAUCACUCUCCAAUGAGCAUCCCGCAGAAGGUAGCUUUUAUGAUGUAGUAGAAAACCAGAGGGGAACACAAGAUGGCCAGUUUCUGAGGACACAUUCAGAUAGCUUGGGAACUGCAACAGAAUCCUCAGCAAGUAUGCCAGUUGGUGUUAUCUUUCGGUAUAUAUGGUAUCAGAUGCGAAGUAAUUAUGAUUAUGUUUGCUAUUGCUGUUUUAUCCUGGUAUUUCUGUGGAAUUUUAGUUUGCUCUCCAUGGUCUACCUUGGAGCGCUUUUCUUAUAUGCUCUUUGUGUCAACUAUGGGCCAAGUUACUUGUUUUGGGUCAUUGUUCUGAUCUACACUGAGCUCAACAUUCUAUCACAGUAUAUAUAUCAGAUUAUUAUCCAACACUGUGGUUUGAAUAUACAUUUGCCUCUUCUCCAGAGAUUAGGUUUCCCUGAUGAUAAAAUAAAAGCAUCCUUUGUUGUCAGCAUAUUGCCUUUGUUUUUGGUAUAUAUAUCUACUCUCCUGCAGAGCUCAAUCACAGCCAAAGAUGGUGAAUGGGUCCCUGUAACAGAAUUCAGUUUCCUUAGUGCAAGAAAUAACAUUGAAGAGAAAUUUUGUAUACCAUACAACUGGAAAGAUAGGUUAAAAAGUUUACACAUGCCUUUAAUGAAUCUUAUAAGGAUGUUUGGGAGGGGCUUAUCUAGAUAUUGGCUAUCACUAACACAGGGUGCAGAAUCUCCUCCCUUUUUUGUGCAAGUUACAAUGGAAGUAAAACAUUGGCCAGAAGAUGGAAUCCAACCAGAGAGGAUAGAGUCAGCAAUAAAUAAGGUACUUGUGACAGCCCAUGAAGAAAGAUGUCAAUCUAAUUCGCCUUCAUCAUGCCAUUCUUCUAGUCGAGUUCGGAUUCAAAGUAUUGAACGGAGCAAAGAAAAUCCUAGUAUGGCUCUUGCUGUGCUAGAAGUUGUUUAUGCUGCUCCUACAGAAUGCCAGUCAGCAGGAUGGUUCAAAUCACUUACUCCAGCAGCUGAUGUAGAAAGGGAAAUUCAUGACUCACAAAAGGCAGGCCUUUUUGAAGAAAUAAAUUUCCCCUACCCAGUUGUCUCUGUAAUUGGCGGCGGUAAAAGAGAGAUUGAUCUUUAUGCAUAUUAUUUUGGUGCUGACAUGGCAGUUUUCUUUCUUGUUCUCAUGUUCUAUCAAUCUAUCCUAAAAAACAAGAGUGAAUUCUUGGAAGUUUAUCAGCUGGAAGAACAAUUCCCUAAAGAGUUUGUUUUCAUCCUAAUGAUUCUCUUUUUCUUGAUUGUAGUUGACCGCAUUAUAUACUUGUGGUCAUUCGCCACGGGAAAAGUUGUUUUCUAUAUUUUCAAUCUUGUGCUCUUCACAUACUCGGUCACUGAGUAUGCCUGGGGAAUGGAGCUAGCCCACAGGGAUGUUGGAGGAUUUGUUUUACGUGCCAUCUACCUUACAAAAUCAAUUUCCCUUGCACUGCAGGCUUUGCAGAUCAGAUAUGGUAUCCCCAACAAAAGUAACUUGUAUAGACAGUUUCUGACUAGCAAAGUAACACAAGUAAACUACUUGGGUUUCCGGCUAUACCGAGCUUUACCGUUCUUGUAUGAGCUUCGAUGUGUUCUUGAUUGGUCUUGCACGACUACAUCAUUAACAAUGUAUGAUUGGCUUAAGUUGGAGGACAUAUAUGCGAGCUUGUUCCUUGUGAAAUGCGACACAAUUUUAAAUAGGGCAAAUCAUCAACACGGGGAAAAGCAAACAAAAAUGACAAAAUUCUGUGGUGGGAUAUGCUUAUUCUUCGUACUUAUCUGUGUUAUUUGGGCUCCAAUGUUGAUUUACAGCAGUGGCAAUCCCACAAAUAUUGCCAAUCCAAUUAUUGAUGUAAGUGUUAAGAUUGACAUAAAGGCUCUUGGUGGAAGGCUAACAUUUUUCCAAACAACUGCUUGUGAAAAGAUACCUUGGAAGUAUUUGAAGGCCUAUAAUGAUGUUGAUCCUCUAGAUUACUUAGGGGCUUACAAUGUUGAGGACAUUCAGCUAAUCUGUUGCCAACCUGAUGCAUCCACAAUGUGGUUGGUACCUCCUCCAGUCCAAAGUAGAUUCGUUCGAUCCCUUGAAGAGACAGAAAUGAUUUUUGGAAAGAUGGAACUUAUUUUAAAUUGGGAUUUUCUCAGAGCUAGACCAAAAGGUAAGGAGUUAGUGAAAUAUGAAUCACCCGUCGAGCAGUGCCCGAGUGUAGAGAAUGUUAAGCAAGUGCUCAAUGGAUCUGCACACAGCUUGAGGAUAACUGAUGCUUACCCUAGGUACUUCCGGGUUACUGGAUCAGGUGAAGUGCGGCGACUAGAGUCAUCGAUAGAUUCAGUAAGCGGUGAACUGCUCUUGAAUAAUGGCACUCCUCCUUGGUGGUCAUUCUACGAUACAAACCCAUCAGAUCUGGCAGGUUGUCAAGGGCAGAAUGGUCCUAUGGCAAUCGUCGUGUCUGAGGAGACACCUCAGGGCAUUAUUGGUGAAACACUCAGCAAAUUCAGCAUAUGGAGUUUGUACAUUACUUUUGUGUUAGCUGUUGCAAGAUUUAUUAGACUGCAAUGCUCAGACUUGAGAAUGAGGAUACCAUAUGAGAAUCUCCCAUCUUGCGACAGGUUGCUUGACAUCUGUGAAGGCAUUUAUGCUGCGCGGGCAGAGGGCGAGUUAGAAGUGGAAGAAGUUUUAUAUUGGACAUUGGUAAAUGUUUACAGGUCACCGCACAUGCUGCUCGAGUACACCAAGCCAGACUAGGCCUCCGAUUCUGCAAAAGGAGCAACUUUGCAAAUACUAAUCCCAGUAUUUUACAAGAGGCUUAGCUGAUAGGUCUUUAACUGAUCCAUGAGGAGCCACAUCACUCGAGGCCCUCUGUAUUUUUGGCUUUCAGGCUGCUUAGAACAAUACCAUGUAAAUAGACCUCGUAGUUCUCGCUAAAUACAGUACAUUUUUUCUGAUAGCAUGUACAUUUGAUAAUGUAUACGUCAAAGUUUGAUAGUUGAAGUUAUCCCAGUAACUAAUCUGUAGUAAAAAGUUGUUGAGAAAGAUGCAAUUCAUUCAAUCAAGGUCAGCCCACCCGGCAGAAUGGGUUCAAUUCCGGUUAUUUUAUGAUCCUUACACUCGGACUCAGGUAUGUCCAUUUCUUUUUGUCAGAAUGCUUUGUUCUCUGCUGAUACAGCUUAUAUUCUUUUUUUUUGCGGGUGAUACAACUUAUAUUCUCACUAGCUU